CCUACGGGAGGCUGCAGUAGGGAAUCUUCCACAAUGGACGAAAGUCUGAUGGAGCAACGCCGCGUGAGUGAAGAAGGGUUUCGGCUCGUAAAGCUCUGUUGGUAGUGAAGAAAGAUAGAGGUAGUAACUGGCCUUUAUUUGACGGUAAUUACUUAGAAAGUCACGGCUAACUACGGGCCAGCAGCCGCGGUAAUACGUAGGUGGCAAGCGUUGUCCGGAUUUAUUGGGCGUAAAGCGAGUGCAGGCGGUUCAAUCAGUCUGAUGUGAAAGCCUUCGGCUCAACCGGAGAAUUGCAUCAGAAACUGUUGGACUUGAGUGCAGAAGAGGAGAGUGGAACUCCAUGUGUAGCGGUGGAAUGCGUAGAUAUAUGGAAGAACACCAGUGGCGAAGGCGGCUCUCUGGUCUGCAACUGACGCUGAGGCUCGAAAGCAUGGGUAGCGAACAGGAUUAGAUACCCCAGUAGUC
rnacentral:rRNA from 1 species